AACCACAACAUAUUUGUUUAAAUGCAUUCAUCCUCCAUUUUGCAUUGCCUUACAUAUAAAAAUAAAAAAUAAAAAAAAUAUUUGCCUCUUGUCUUCAUCACUCAAUAUCUUGUCUCUAGUAUAAUGAAUCUUGUUCAUCUUAUCAUGCUCCCUCUUUCUAUGUUAGUAUGCUUUGGUUUGGUUAUACGAAUCGCUCAAGUGAGUACCUCCAUAGUCUUUUUAAAUUAAGCAUGGUGCUUAGGUUAAAUAGACUACCUUAAUAAAACAAGACAUGGUGUUAAGUUUGAUUAUUGAACCAAACAUACUUGCAUGGAACUUGGUUGCACUUUUGGAGUAACCCCUAC
rnacentral:lncRNA from 1 species